AAUAAACUUGGUGGAUAAUGGCAACCAAAGUUUUCAAACAAAAAAAAUAAAAGAAAAACUUAAAAAUAAGAAAAGUAUAAAUAAAAAUAAGAUUCAAUGGGAGAUUCGGGAAUCUAAAGACAAACGGUUAUAACUCCAAAAAUUCAAGGUCUCUCUCUCAAUUUGGCGCAUUUCGACUGUGUUCAUAUUAACAGGUUUUCUUUUGAGCCGAGGGUCUAUCGGAAACAGCCUCUCUACCCAUAAAGGUUGAGUUACAGGGAGUUUCAACUACAAGGUUACAGAAGCUUGAGUAUUGCAGAACAGCGCAUACUCUUGUGUUUCUUAAUGAAGGUUCAGCCACUUUUACCAGCACUGUACCUUUUUGCCUUGGGAUAGCAAUCAAAUUGCUAUUGAAGAAUUAAAUGCAACUUCAAGGCCUCUAAAGUUUGCAAAAUAGGGCAAAAGGCAGAAGUAGAAGACCGAUACUGUUUGUCUCGUCGGUGCUUCCUUUAUUUAGAUAAUCAUGGUGUCCGGGCCAGCUUGCGCGCACUCGACUAAUUCCACGGGGUACCUGCUACCUCCCACCAGCAUAGAUAAUGGGUAACUCUGUCUACCAAGGCUUAGACGAAAGAAAUCACCUAGUGUUUUUAUCUCCGUUGGGACUUGAACCUGAGACCUCAUGGUUCUCUACCCACUUCUUGACCACUAGGCCAAACCCUUGGUGCAAGUACCUCCUCAGUGCUUCUCAUUUAAUAAAAUCUUAUCCUUUCGCCAGACAUUUUUUUAGUUUUAGUUUAGUGAGAGAAGUUCCUGAUUUAUGUGUGCCUAUUUGUAAUUGAUGUAAUUUUCUCUCUUCCGAGAUAGUUCAACUCAAGAGUGCCUUGGAUAUGACACUCUUCUCUCUUUGUAAGCAUCAGGUCUUUCUUUGGGGAUGAAGGGGUGGUGAGGUUGGUGCUGAUUGUUGUCUUUAAGGUUUCAUAAAUCCUCAACCAUGAACAAUUUACCACUGAGUUAGGUCUAACAGAGAUAUGGUCCUCUAAAUCUCUUGGAAAGUCAGAUUGAAUGAACUCUUCAGGGUUUUUUCUCAGUUGGAGCUAUGACUAGGUAGUUUCUUGAAGUUCAAUGUUUCUUAUCCUAGAGCUUAACUAAUUUGGCUUUCGUCCACUAUGAUCACAUGCAUAAUUAUGUUGCUCUCACCUUUCCUUUCAUGCAUGCUCAAUUAAUUAAUAAUUCAGUUUAUGGUUCAUUAUGAUUGGUUUGUCGAUUAAGAUUUUGGACAACCAUAGUAGGUGUUCAAUGUUUGUUUUGAUAAACAGACAUUUCAAACUGAGUCUUCCUUCUAAGGCUCGGACAUCUAGAAUCUAGCUUGAGGAUUUAGUAAACCAAGUCGCAUAUAUGAUUUCUAUAAGGAUGCUUUGAUUUGCAAUAUUCCUCAUUCAACAACGCAUAAUCAGUUAUUAUGAUUUUUGCGUGGUGAAAGGCAAUAGUAGUAUAUUUUCCCUGUUUCUUAGUACAACAACAUACCCAGUAGGGUCUGGGGAGGGUAGAUUGUACGCAGACCUUACCCCUACCUUGGGAGGUAGAGAGGCUGUUUCUGAUAGACCCUUGGCAUUUUCCCUGUUUCUACGUGACAACAGAAAAGUUGGAGGACCUUCUAGAAGCAGUGCUGAGAUGUCUGAGUUACUUAUUGUAUAGCUCUUGGUUUUACAGUAAUUGUCUUUUGCCCUGAUUUAUGUAGUGAUUAUCACUUCUUUAUAUUCAUGGUCCUCUUGUCCCAUCUGUACACAGCUUGAUGUAGCUUCUUCAGAUAAAGGAUAUCUGCACAUUUAGACUGUUCGGAACUACCAUCUCCCAUGAUCAGUCUCAAAAUUAAAUCAAAGAUGCCAAACAAGAGUCCCACCAUCAGUUGGUGAUGGUUAUGUUAGACCUUCUAUGAAGUAAAGUUGAAGGGUUAUUGUAACAUUAUUGCAUCGUGCUCAAAGCAAGAGCAACUGUAGUAAAGGUUAAACAAAAGAAUAUGAUGUUCCCAAGAAUAGAUUGAUCUUAUAAAAUUUUUAUGACAUGACAAACCAAUGAAAGCUCCUUCUUGUUGUGAAUUGUCUUGACCACCUAACAACAAGGCAAAGGUGCCCUUAGUAAAGUCUGACAUAAAUAGCCUUAGUGUUACCAAAGCACAAUAUGUUGUACUAGUUGACUAAAACAAAGAGGAGGGUAGCAAAAUCCCACUCCUAAGGCACCUCCUGGUUCCUGAUUUGUAUGUUAUUUUCUCCCGCUCUCCUCGCUAAUGUUCGAUUUACUAUAAAUUGUUUUGCUUGACGAGAUCUAGCAGUCACUAUCUUUGUUGAUUUUUUUUGUGACUGUGGUGUCCGGGCUAGCUUGUGCGCACCUCCACCAAUUCACAGGGUAUCUUCUACCUCCCAACAGCACAGGUACUGGGCAACUGUGUCCACCAAGGCUUGGACAGAUGAGAAAAACCGUCUAGUGUUUUUGCACCUGAGACCUCAUGAUUCUUAACCCACUUCAUUGAUCACUACUCCACAGCCAUUGGAUGCAUAUCUUUGUUUCCUUUUAUGUUCCUCUCCCUUGGGAUUUGUGUAACAGUCCAACCUGCUAGUGAUAUUGUUCGCUUUGAGCCUAGGCCCGCACGGUUUUAAAACGCGCCACUAAGGGGUAAAGCAUGCUUCCUUAGAUACCCAGCAUCCCUCUCGUGUUUUGCCGAUGUAGGGAUUCUCCUAGUUAGGGUGUCACAUUUGCCUAGACUCAGCACUGAGGUGUGCCCUGCCUAUCUAGGAUUUGCCUAAACUUAAUUGAAUUUUGGCGCACAUCAACAAAGCUGACACAGGAGUGGCUCUGAUACCAUUGGUAGCCCGGCCUGCUAGUAACAUUGUCCUCUUUGGACCUAGGCCCACAAGGCUUUAAAACACGUCAGUAGGGGGUAUGAGAGAUCGUCUUUUAGAGAUUUGAUGCUAAUACUUUGAUGAUUUAAGUUCCCUGUAUUGUGGGUUCAAUUGUAUCUCUCAUGAAGUUUUGCACCAAGCACAAAGUCCUGCACUCCUUCGUUGUAACUUUUUUCUUUAAUAACAGCAGGCAUCUGUAAAUUAAAUUUUAUUUUGAGACUAAUCGAAUGGUCAUAAAAAUAAUAUGUAUAGGAACUUGUAUGCAGCACUUGUACGGAGGUAGCACCAUAAAGGUUUAAAACUCUUCUUUAUCCGAAUCUUAAGGACAGGACCCUACUUAUUUUCGAUUUCUCUGGAGUUUCUUUUGUAUAUUAAAUGGAUGAUCCAAUUCCGCAAGGAUGAUGAUUGUGAAUUGUUUAAUUGGCUUUCUCUG